rnacentral:misc_RNA from 1 species
CAGUCAGCGCAUGGAGCACCCCACCCCUGGGUCUCGGUACCGCUAUCCCAUCCAACGUCAUCACCGCCUCUCUUGAGGGCAGGCACGCACACACACACACACACACACGCGCACACGCAAUGGCCCACAAGAAGCAAGCAUGGGCGAAGCGGGUGAAGAAGGAGCGCUUCAAGAAGAAAUUCCUGACGCGCAUGCAGGCAACGCGGCUACUGCAGAUGGAGUCGGUUCAGUUCCGCCGCCUCUGCAUCCUCAAGGGCAUCUACCCCCGCGCCCUCAACCGCAGCAAGCAGAAACAAAGUGGCCACGAGAAGCAGUACUACCUCGCCCGCGAGAUCAAGUGGCUCGUGCGCGACCAGAUAGCGGAGAAGAUGAUGGCAUAUCGGGCGUGGGAGAAGAAGGUGAAGCGGGCAGAGGCGAUGGGCCGCUCCGAGGACCUCAAGGUGCUGCAGAGCUCACGCGUGAAGCCGCGCCACAGCUUGGUGGCGACAAUCAAGGAGCGCUACCCAUACUUCAUCGACGCCAUCCGCGACGUGGAUGACGCCAUGUCGAUGAUCCACCUCUACGCCUUCCUUAGCCCGGAGAUCAAGUCCGAUACCACUAUCGAGAUACACCACUCCCUCACCUCCGGCAUGAGUGAGAAGGCCAAGGAGGUGUGCGAACGCUGGGACCGCUACGUCGCACGCGCGCGCGUGCUGACGAAGGGCUUCAUCUCCAUCAAGGGCUACUACUACGAGGCAAUUGUCAAGGGCGAGCGGGUGCGGUGGCUGUGCCCGCACGAGUACGCUCACCGCUUCCCCCCGGGCAUCCAGCAAUACGUGAUGCUCAGCUUCCUCGAAUUCUACCUGGAGAUGAUGAAGUUCGUCCUGUUCAAGCUCGAGUCGGACCUCGCGCGCGAUGAGGCGGACCGCCUGGCAGCCGAGGAUGAGGAAGGUGUUACCCGCGCGAACGCCGAGGACUUCGCGAACGGUGGGGCGCUGGCCGUGCUGGAUGUAGGCGCGAACGGGGCGCAGGCCAAGGAGGUGAAGGAGGCCGAGUCGAAGCGGUCUUUGAUGGGGGAAGAGCUGCACAAGGUGCGCGAGCUGUUCCGCGGGCUGACCUUCUUCAUAUCGCGUGAGGUGCCCUCGAAGCGCUUCGCCCUCGUCAUCAACGCCUGCGGCGGCCGUGUGGCGACCGACUACGUGCCGUCGAACAUCACUCACGUCGUUGUUGACCGCCCCGCGCUGCCGCCAGGGAUGAAAAAGCAUGACCAGCUCGAGUACGUGCAGCCGCAGUACAUCUUCGACUGCCUGAACGCGCGGCUGAUGCUCCCGGUGACGGGCUACCGCAUUGGCGAGGAGCUGCCGCCGCACGUGUCGCCCUUCUCUGUCUCCAUCACGAACUCCGCCGAGGACAACGCGGCGGUGGAGCAGGUGAAGAAGGACCACCCGAGGAUUGUGGGCUACGUGCCGGCGCGCGUGCAUGAGAUCCGCAAGCUGAUCAACCCGUCUUACUCCGCGGUCGACCCAGAGGGGAAGGUAGCGCAUCUGGAGGGCGAGUACAGCGACGAAGAGUCUCACGUGGCGGUGCCGGAGAUGGACAUGGAGGACGACGUCUCGCUUUCUGGCGACGAGCUUGCGGAGGCACGCAGGAAGCCGGCGUGGCAGGAGGAGGAGGUCACGGAGGAGGUGCAGCGGCCGAAGCUGUCGGCGUUCAAGGUGAAGAAGCAGCGCGAGAUGAACCUGAUGAACGCGCCGACGAACGAAGUGGUGGCGCGGCGGCGGCAGGCGCUGCGCAAGGCGCAGGAGAAGUCACGUCAGACAGAGACGUCCGAGGCACGUCUGCAGCGCAAAAUGAGCGAGGUGAAGCGCCAGGAGGCGGCGACGCGCAAGAUGCAGCUGCAGGUCGCCCGCAAGAAGGCGGCACGCUUUUACAAGAUGAUCAGCGGUGUGGUGCAGGGCACGGCGAAGAAGGCGGCGACGCUGGAGGCAAAGGCGAAGCACAUAGCCGAAGGGAAGCUGCAUAAGACUGAGGAUGGUAAGGGACUUGUCAACACGCGGCUGGAGGCGCGACGGCAGCGAGCCGAGGCGAAGAGCAAGAAGCUCAAGGAGAGGAAGGCCGGCAACCCGUACAAGAAGCUGCCCAAGUGGGUGCAGUAGUGCCGUCUGCCUGUGUCUGUGUCCGAUACUCGCUUGUGUCUGUCUGUCUGUGAGAUGUGAGAUGUCUGCGUCUGCGUCUCCGUGGGUGGGCGUCGCUAAGGCGUAGAAGUUUCCCCUCCCUCGAGCGGUGCCUUUCACACCAGAGGGCGAGGAAGGCCUCUGUGGAAAGCCGACGAGGCAUGCCUGGGCUCCGUCUCUCGCUGCGGCUUGUUGUUUGCUUGUCCUGUCCCUUCAACAAAGCAGGGGCAGGAUCCGUGGACGGAACGGAGGAUGAUGAAUCAUGGCAAGGCCUCCCCUCCCUUUUUCGUUCUCGUCCGCCUCCCGCUAAUCCACGCAGAGGUGCGCUCGUCUUUCACCACCACCACAACCACCACCUCCCUCACCUCCUCCUCCUCGACCACUCCAGAGCGACAUGUGCGUGCGUGCGCGCAUGUCCUGUGUGGGGAGGGGAGGGGAGGGGAGGGGAGAGAGAGGAAGCGGGCGUGGCGGUUCGGGCAGCAUGCUCGUGCCUCUGUGUGCAGGCGCAUCUGCGUCCGUGUAAUAUCUGGUCCUUAAGCGCGCAUAUAGUAACGUCUACCUUUUCCGUUAAGUGAAUGAACCCCCCCCCCUCUCCCUCCGCAGAAGCCACCGUUGAGCAUGAGGAAGCGCAGCUGGCACCAGGGUGAUGCUAACGGCCGCGACGCCUCGGCGUGGGGCGUGUGCGUGCGAGGCGGAGAGAGAGGACGUCGGCAGGCAAGGCCCUCCACCCUUCUUCCCUUCUCUGGCGCCUCCCCCCUUCCCUCACACACACACACGUGCUCGCCCCUCUGCUUGGGACGUCCGUGUUUAAGUAGUGAAGAGGUGACCACCUCACCACCCACUGCCUUGCACCCCUCCCCCUCCUCCUCCUCCUCUCUCCAUCCUCUGCGGCUUCGGCUGCUGUUCUCGUCCUUUAUUGCAUACACACACACACACACACCUGCCCCCACCUCGCACGCGCCCUUCUGUGCCGGUGCCGUCCUGCAUGUGUGUGCGUCUGCGUGCUAAUCAG